GGAUGUGAGGGCGAUCUGGCUGUGACAUUGAUCACCCCAUUGAUCGCCAGGGUUGAUCCCACUGAUCUGGCUGGCUAGGCGGGUGUCCCCUUCCUCCCUCACCACUCCACGUGCGUCCCUCCCGAAGCUGCGCGCUCAGUCGAAGAGGACGACCUUCCCUGAUAGAGAAGGACCGUUCUUCGGUCAAGGGUAUACAAGUAGCUGCGCUCCCCUGCUAGAACCUCCAAACAAGCUCUCAAAGAAGUUCCUUUAACAUUUCUUGUAAGGGUGUUUUAGUGAUGAUAAACUUCUUUGAGUUUUGUCUGCGACACUCUUU
ensembl:misc_RNA 7SK 7SK RNA